rnacentral:rRNA from 1 species
GACGAACGCUGGCGGCGUGCUUAACACAUGCAAGUCGAACGGAAAGGCCCUGCUUUUGUGGGGUGCUCGAGUGGCGAACGGGUGAGUAACACGUGAGUAACCUGCCCUUGACUUUGGGAUAACUUCAGGAAACUGGGGCUAAUACCGGAUAGGAGCUCCUGCUGCAUGGUGGGGGUUGGAAAGUUUCGGCGGUUGGGGAUGGACUCGCGGCUUAUCAGCUUGUUGGUGGGUAGUGGCUUACCAAGGCUUUGACGGGUAGCCGGCCUGAGAGGGUGACCGGCCACAUUGGGACUGAGAUACGGCCCAGACUCCUACGGGAGGCAACAGUGGGGAAUAUUGCACAAUGGGCGGAAGCCUGAUGCAGCAACGCCGCGUGCGGGAUGACGGCCUUCGGGUUGUAAACCGCUUUCGCCUGUGACGAAGCGUGAGUGACGGUAAUGGGUAAAGAAGCACCGGCUAACUACGU